rnacentral:lncRNA from 10 species
GGUGGCCAGUCAAGACUAAUGAUUCAACACUUUGGACAAGCCUGAUGAUAUUCACCUUUGAUUCCGUUGUCCUAAAUUUGGAUUUGGAGAGAGAUGAGACAAAGUUACGUUAAAUGAGGACCGUGAUUGAGGAACCUGGGAGCCUGAGGAAGAGGGAGGAGCAGCCCCUUACCAAAAAUGGGGUGGGGGCUGAUGAAGAACUGA